AAAAAAUAAAAAAAUAAAAAUGCAAUUUAUUCUGAUUUUGUUAAAAAUAGAAAUAAAAGGUAAAAAGAGGAAAAAGUGGGAAAACUAAGAUUCGAACCAGAGACCUCAUGAUUGUACCUCCUCAAAUUCUCACUUUACUACCAAAUGGGUCAUCUCAUUCAUUUGAGAUAAAAUACGACUAAAAUCCAUAUAAUAGUAUAAUACCCAGACAAAAUUAGGGUAUGAC
rnacentral:lncRNA from 1 species